rnacentral:rRNA from 1 species
UACAGAGGUCUCAAGCGUUGUUCGGAUUCAUUGGGCGUAAAGGGCGCGUAGGCGGCGGGGUAAGUCGGGUGUGAAAUCUCAGAGCUCAACUCUGAAACUGCACUCGAUACUGCUCUGCUUGAGGACUGGAGAGGAGACUGGAAUUUACGGUGUAGCGGUGAAAUGCGUAGAUAUCGUAAGGAACACCGGUGGCGAAGGCGGCCUGCUGGGCAGUGGCGUGACACUGAGGCGCGACAGCGUGGGGAGCAAACAGG